rnacentral:lncRNA from 13 species
GCCCCAUUCCCGGCCCCAUUCCCGGCCCCAUUCCCGGCCCCAAUUCCCGGCCCCAUUCCCAGCCCCAUUCCCAGCCCCAUUCCCAGCCCCAAUUCCCAGCCCCAUUCCCAGCCCCAUUCCCGGCCCCAUUCCUGGCCCCAUUCCCGCUUUUCCCGGCAUUCCCGGCGCCGGCAGCGGUGCUGCAGAGCUGGAGCGUGCAGCUGGACGGGCCCAUCUCCACCGUGCUGCUCUUCCCGCUGCCCCCGGAGCCCCACGAGGAUCCCGAGGAUCGCUGGAGCCUCCUGGUGAGCAGCGCCCUGGAGGCGGCCGUGGUUUAUCGGCGGAUCCUGCGGCGGGGCCUGGCGGAGCCGCUGGAGCUGCCGGGGAGCUCCGGCUCCGACGCCGUCGUCUGCGCCAAAGUCACCGACGUCGACUUCGACGGCGCCGCCGAGAUCCUGCUCGGCACCUACGGCCAGCACAGCCUGGAGCCGACGGCGCGGCUGCUCCGGGAGCGGCUCCGGCGGGAGCUGGAAAACCGGGAAAAGCAGCGGGAAAACCGGGAAAAGGAGCUGGAAAAGCGGGAAAAGGCCGAGGAAAAGCGGGAAGAGGCCGAGGAAGAGCGGGGCGCGGGGCCGCGCCCCCCCAGCCCCCCGGAAUCCAAAUAAAAACCUUCCCGAAACCGUGCCCGGAAUUCCUG